UACGGAGGGGGCUAGCGUUGUUCGGAAUUACUGGGCGUAAAGCGCACGUAGGCGGCUUUGUAAUUUAGAGGUGAAAGCCCGGGGCUCAACUCCGGAAUUGCCUUUAAGACUGCAUCGCUUGAACAUCGGAGAGGUAAUUGGAAUUCCGAGUGUAGAGGUGACAUUCGUAGAUAUUCGGAAGAACACCAGUGGCGAAGGCGACUUACUGGACACAUAUUGACGCUGAGGUGCGAAAGCGUGGGGAGCAAGCAGG
rnacentral:rRNA from 1 species